UCCUACGGGGGGCUGCAGUGGGGAAUAUUGCACAAUGGGCGCAAGCCUGAUGCAGCCAUGCCGCGUGUAUGAAGAAGGCCUUCGGGUUGUAAAGUACUUUCAGCGGGGAGGAAGGUGUUGAGGUUAAUAACCUCAGCAAUUGACGUUACCCGCAGAAGCAGCACCGGCUAACUCCGUGACAGCAGCAGCGGUAAUACGGAGGGUGCAAGCGUUAAUCGGAAUUACUGGGCGUAAAGCGCACGCAGGCGGUCGUGCAAGUCGGAUGUGAAAUCCCCGGGCUCAACCGGGGAACUGCAUGCGAAACUGGCAGGCUAGAGUCGUGUAGAGGGGGGUAGAAUUCCAGGUGUAGCGGUGAAAUGCGUAGAGAUCUGGAGGAAUACCGGUGGCGAAGGCGGCCCCCUGGACAAAGACUGACGCUCAGGUGCGAAAGCGUGGGGAGCAAACAGGAUUAGAUACCCCAGUAGUC
rnacentral:rRNA from 1 species